ACAUUCCAGGCUCUGUGAACUAAGUGACUGAAGCUGAUUGACACAGGUCAAGGGGACUUCAAGGAAGAAAGCCAGCCUUAGACUGACAUCAGAGAACCAAACUCCGGUGUCUAAGCUCAAGAGGUUAGAAUCCUGAGAACUGUUUGGAAUAAGGAAUCCAAAUAUUGUCUUCCAGCUUCACCUUGUCACGACAGUCCUCGCCAGGGACAGCUGAGCCUUGCGUGGAUGAAACAGUCCCAACGAACACUUUAAAAAGACAAAUGUUCCCGACAGCACUGGUUGAAUUCAAAACUCGGCAGAUCCAUGUUCUUAUCCUUAGACAAGAGAGGGGCCAUAACAAGAUGGAAUGACGGAACAGACGUGAGAGAUGAUGUCCACCCAGAGGGUCUGCACUUCUCGGAGCCAGAAGGUGGAGAAGAGUAGGGAUGGAGGAAGUUCGAAGUUUUAGGAGUCUGCUCUUGGGUCCCUAGGCAUGAGGACAAGCUUUUCCUGUACUCAAUGCUCAUCUCUCAGUUGUGCCCACAUUGGUACACAUUACUUGCUUUCAACUGCUGCUGCUGCUGUUUCCUAAUUCAAUAAAGAUAUGGCUGGCUCAGCAGAGAGCUG
rnacentral:lncRNA from 1 species